CUCAGGAUGAACGCUAGCGGCAGGCUUAAUACAUGCAAGUCGAGGGGCAGCAUGGUUGUAGCAAUACAACUGAUGGCGACCGGCAAACGGGUGCGGAACACGUACGCAAUCUACCCAAAACUGAUGAAUAGCCCUCCGAAAGGAGGAUUAAUACAUCGUAACUUAAUGAAGUGGCAUCACUUUAUUAAUAUAGCUCCGGCGGUUUUGGAUGAGCGUGCGCCUGAUUAGGUAGUUGGCGGGGUAACGGCCCACCAAGCCAGCGAUCAGUAACUGGUGUGAGAGCACGACCAGUCACACGGGCACUGAGACACGGGCCCGACUCCUACGGGAGGCAGCAGUAAGGAAUAUUGGUCAAUGGACGCAAGUCUGAACCAGCCAUGCCGCGUGAAGGAUGAAGGUCCUCUGGAUUGUAAACUUCUUUUAUAUGGGACGAAACCUCUUAUUCUUAAGAGACUGACGGUACCAUAGGAAUAAGCACCGGCUAACUCCGUGCCAGCAGCCGCGGUAAUACGGAGGGUGCAAGCGUUAUCCGGAUUCACUGGGUUUAAAGGGAGCGUAGGAGGGCAGGUAAGUCAGUGGUGAAAUCUUCGAGCUUAACUCGGAAACUGCCGUUGAUACUAUCUGUCUUGAAUACCGUGGAGAUGAGCGGAAUAUGUCAUGUAGCGGUGAAAUGCUUAGAUAUGACAUAGAACACCAAUUGCGAAGGCAGCUCGUUACACGAAUAUGACUCUGAGGCUCGAAAGCGUGGGGAUCAAACAGGAUUAGAUACCCUGGUAGUCCACGCCCUAAACGAUGGAUACUCGACAUACGCGAUACACAGUGUGUGUCUGAGCGAAAGCAUUAAGUAUCCCACCUGGGAAGUACGACCGCAAGGUUGAAACUCAAAGGAAUUGGCGGGGGUCCGCACAAGCGGUGGAGCAUGUGGU
rnacentral:rRNA from 1 species